rnacentral:rRNA from 1 species
GGGCGAGAAAAGCUGUGUGAAUAGAAGAUAGAGCCCGUACCGCAAACCGACACAGGUAGAUAGGAAGAAGAUUCUAAGGCCAACGGGAGAAGGGUUGUUAAGGAACUCGGCAAGUUGACCCCGUAACUUAGGGAGAAGGGGUGCUCUUUAAGGAGAGCCGCAGAGAAUAGGCCCAAGCGACUGUUUAGCAAAAACACAGCUCUAUGCUAAAUCGAAAGAUGACGUAUAUGGGGUGACACCUGCCCGGUGCCGGAAGGUUAAGAGGAGGAGUGAGAGCUCUGAAUUGAAGCCCCGGUAAACGGCGGCCGUAACUAUAACGGUCCUAAGGUAGCGAAAUUCCUUGUCAGGUAAGUUCUGACCCGCACGAAUGGUGUAACGAUUUGGGCACUGUCUCAACAACCUGCCCGGCGAAAUUGUAGUACCGGUGAAGAUGCCGGUUACCCGCGACUAGACGGAAAGACCCCAUGGAGCUUUACUGCAGCUUAAUAUUGAAUUUCGGUAUUUCAUGUACAGGAUAGGUGGGAGACAGGGAACCAUAGGCGUCAGCUUAUGGGGAGUCGACCUUGGGAUACCACUCUUGAGGUGCUGGAAUUCUAACCUGUGGCUCUGAAUCGAGUCAGGGGACAUUGUUAGGCGGGCAGUUUGACUGGGGCGGUCGCCUCCAAAAAGGUAACGGAGGCGCUCAAAGGUUCGCUCAGCAUGGAUGGAAACCAUGCUUUUGAGUGUAAACGCAAAAGCGAGCCUAACUGCGAGACUGACGGGUCGAGCAGUAACGAAAGUUGGAGUUAGUGAUCCGGCGGUAUGUGAGUGGAAAUGCCGUCGCUCAACGGAUAAAAGCUACCCUGGGGAUAACAGGCUGAUCUCCCCCAAGAGUCCACAUCGACGGGGAGGUUUGGCACUUCGAUGUCGGCUCAUCGCAUCCUGGGGCUGAAUUCGGUCCCAAGGGUUUGGCUGUUCGCCAAUUAAAGCGGUACGCGAGCUGGGUUCAGAACGCCGUGAGACAGUUCGGUCCCUAUCUGUCGUGGGCGUAGGAUAUUUGAAAGGAGCUGUCCCUAGUACGAGAGGACCGGGAUGGACGCACCGCUGGUGCACCAGUUGUCAUGCCAAUGGCACAGCUGGGCAGCUAUGUGCGGAACGGAUAAACGCUGAAGGCAUCUAAGCGUGAAGCCGACCUUAAGAUAAGAUAUCCCUUCGUAAGAGUAAGACCUCUCAUAGACUAUGAGUUUGAUAGGCCUAAGGUGUAAGCACAGUGAUGUGUUCAGCCUGCAGGUACUAAUCGGUCGAGGACUUUUCCA